AAGCAACCAACAAUCAAUCAAUCACAAACUAUUAUACAGAAAAUACAAAAUGAGCUGUCACUUUUGAAAUUGAGACAAAGUUGGAAGGAAAUAAAGAAAGAAAAUGCAUGCCUUCGAAACUUUAUGACCGGGCGAAAAUGUUCUAAAACUAUAUUGUGCAACAUGCCUCAAGUUGAAAUCGUGUUUUAGUUGUUUUUAUACAGACCCCGUUAGAUAAAAAUUUAGGUGGCAAACAACUGGAUCAAAAUACAUAC
rnacentral:lncRNA from 1 species